rnacentral:rRNA from 1 species
GUGGGGAAUUUUGGACAAUGGGCGAAAGCCUGAUCCAGCCAUGCCGCGUGCAGGAUGAAGGCCUUCGGGUUGUAAACUGCUUUUGUACGGAACGAAAAGCCUCUUUCUAAUAAAGAGGGGUCAUGACGGUACCGUAAGAAUAAGCACCGGCUAACUACGUGCCAGCAGCCGCGGUAAUACGUAGGGUGCAAGCGUUAAUCGGAAUUACUGGGCGUAAAGCGUGCGCAGGCGGUUUUGUAAGACAGAGGUGAAAUCCCCGGGCUCAACCUGGGAACUGCCUUUGUGACUGCAAGGCUGGAGUGCGGCAGAGGGGGAUGGAAUUCCGCGUGUAGCAGUGAAAUGCGUAGAUAUGCGGAGGAACACCGAUGGCGAAGGCAAUCCCCUGGGCCUGCACUGACGCUCAUGCACGAAAGCGUGGGGAGCAAACAGGAUUAGAAACCCUUGUAGUCC